AGCUGCCUGCAGUGUUGGUGAUGAAACGGUUUUUUUUCGAACCAAUGCCUUUUUAUCGGGGGCCGAAUGAGUCCGAACGUGCUUCCCUUCGGGGAUAGCUAACUUCAGGACGCCUAGGCAACCCACCUGAUAGAGAGGUUCGAAAUGGACUUUUUCACACGGCACUGCGGGUUUUUU
rnacentral:other from 1 species